rnacentral:rRNA from 1 species
AUGAACGCUGGCGGCGUGCCUCAUACAUGCAAGUCGAGCGAACAGACGAGGAGCUUGCUCCUCUGACGUUAGCGGCGGACGGGUGAGUAACACGUGGAUAACCUACCUAUAAGACUGGGAUAACUUCGGGAGACCGGAGCUAAUACCGGAUAAUAUAUUGAACCGCAUGGUUCAAUAGUGAAAGACGGUUUUGCUGUCACUUAUAGAUGGAUCCGCGCCGCAUUAGCUAGUUGGUAAGGUAACGGCUUACCAAGGCAACGAUGCGUAGCCGACCUGAGAGGGUGAUCGGCCACACUGGAACUGAGACACGGUCCAGACUCCUACGGGAGGCAGCAGUAGGGAAUCUUCCGCAAUGGGCGAAAGCCUGACGGAGCAACGCCGCGUGAGUGAUGAAGGUCUUCGGAUCGUAAAACUCUGUUAUUAGGGAAGAACAAAUGUGUAAGUAACUAUGCACGUCUUGACGGUACCUAAUCAGAAAGCCACGGCUAACUACGUG